UUAUUAUUGUGUAAACUAUAUUGUAAAAAAAAAUUAGGAAAUCGAAGUUGUUCAAUUCGCCUUUUAAGGACAACAAUAAACAUCGUACGAUAGUCUGGCUGCGAGUAACAAGAUGGCUAAACUAAAGGAGAUGUACAACAAAACUUUGGGAAAUUGAACUGCACCAUCAUAGCUGAAAAUGACUAACUGGAGCAUGGAAUAAGAGCUGCCACCACCAUCACAACACCAACACUACACCACCACCAUGUCAUCACCACUGAUACCUCCACCUUGACUCUAUCACCAGUGGCAGCAACAACAUUACCACCUAUGGCAAGAUGAGUAACAACUAAACCCAUGAGAAAUUAACAACUGGAUCAUGGAAACACUGCUGUUACAGGUAUGUCUGUCUGUCUGUCUAACUAACUGUCAA